rnacentral:rRNA from 1 species
GCUUACGGCCAUAUCACGUUGAAAGCACCGGUUCUCGUCUGAUCACCGGAGUUAAGCAAUGUCGAGCCUACUUAGUAUUUAGAUGGGUGACCACUUGGGAAACCUAGGUGCUGUAAGCG